rnacentral:rRNA from 1 species
AGCGUACACGGUGGAUGCCCUGGCAGUCAGAGGCGAUGAAGGACGUGCUAAUCUGCGAUAAGCGUCGGUAAGGUGAUAUGAACCGUUAUAACCGGCGAUUUCCGAAUGGGGAAACCCAGUGUGAUUCGUCACACUAUCAUUAACUGAAUCCAUAGGUUAAUGAGGCGAACCGGGGGAACUGAAACAUCUAAGUACCCCGAGGAAAAGAAAUCAACCGAGAUUCCCCCAGUAGCGGCGAGCGAACGGGGAGCAGCCCAGAGCCUGAAUCAGUGUGUGUGUUAGUGGAAGCGUCUGGAAAGGCGCGCGAUACAGGGUGACAGCCCCGUACACAAAAAUGCACAUACUGUGAGCUCGAUGAGUAGGGCGGGACACGUGGUAUCCUGUCUGAAUAUGGGGGGACCAUCCUCCAAGGCUAAAUACUCCUGACUGACCGAUAGUGAACCAGUACCGUGAGGGAAAGGCGAAAAGAACCCCGGCGAGGGGAGUGAAAAAGAACCUGAAACCGUGUACGUACAAGCAGUGGGAGCACGCUUAGGCGUGUGACUGCGUACCUUUUGUAUAAUGGGUCAGCGACUUAUAUUCUGUAGCAAGGUUAACCGAAUAGGGGAGCCGAAGGGAAACCGAGUCUUAACUGGGCGUUAAGUUGCAGGGUAUAGACCCGAAACCCGGUGAUCUAGCCAUGGGCAGGUUGAAGGUUGGGUAACACUAACUGGAGGACCGAACCGACUAAUGUUGAAAAAUUAGCGGAUGACUUGUGGCUGGGGGUGAAAGGCCAAUCAAACCGGGAGAUAGCUGGUUCUCCCCGAAAGCUAUUUAGGUAGCGCCUCGUGAAUUCAUCUCCGGGGGUAGAGCACUGUUUCGGCAAGGGGGUCAUCCCGACUUACCAACCCGAUGCAAACUGCGAAUACCGGAGAAUGUUAUCACGGGAGACACACGGCGGGUGCUAACGUCCGUCGUGAAGAGGGAAACAACCCAGACCGCCAGCUAAGGUCCCAAAGUCAUGGUUAAGUGGGAAACGAUGUGGGAAGGCCCAGACAGCCAGGAUGUUGGCUUAGAAGCAGCCAUCAUUUAAAGAAAGCGUAAUAGCUCACUGGUCGAGUCGGCCUGCGCGGAAGAUGUAACGGGGCUAAACCAUGCACCGAAGCUGCGGCAGCGACGCUUAUGCGUUGUUGGGUAGGGGAGCGUUCUGUAAGCCUGCGAAGGUGUGCUGUGAGGCAUGCUGGAGGUAUCAGAAGUGCGAAUGCUGACAUAAGUAACGAUAAAGCGGGUGAAAAGCCCGCUCGCCGGAAGACCAAGGGUUCCUGUCCAACGUUAAUCGGGGCAGGGUGAGUCGACCCCUAAGGCGAGGCCGAAAGGCGUAGUCGAUGGGAAACAGGUUAAUAUUCCUGUACUUGGUGUUACUGCGAAGGGGGGACGGAGAAGGCUAUGUUGGCCGGGCGACGGUUGUCCCGGUUUAAGCGUGUAGGCUGGUUUUCCAGGCAAAUCCGGAAAAUCAAGGCUGAGGCGUGAUGACGAGGCACUACGGUGCUGAAGCAACAAAUGCCCUGCUUCCAGGAAAAGCCUCUAAGCAUCAGGUAACAUCAAAUCGUACCCCAAACCGACACAGGUGGUCAGGUAGAGAAUACCAAGGCGCUUGAGAGAACUCGGGUGAAGGAACUAGGCAAAAUGGUGCCGUAACUUCGGGAGAAGGCACGCUGAUAUGUAGGUGAAGUCCCUCGCGGAUGGAGCUGAAAUCAGUCGAAGAUACCAGCUGGCUGCAACUGUUUAUUAAAAACACAGCACUGUGCAAACACGAAAGUGGACGUAUACGGUGUGACGCCUGCCCGGUGCCGGAAGGUUAAUUGAUGGGGUCAGCGCAAGCGAAGCUCUUGAUCGAAGCCCCGGUAAACGGCGGCCGUAACUAUAACGGUCCUAAGGUAGCGAAAUUCCUUGUCGGGUAAGUUCCGACCUGCACGAAUGGCGUAAUGAUGGCCAGGCUGUCUCCACCCGAGACUCAGUGAAAUUGAACUCGCUGUGAAGAUGCAGUGUACCCGCGGCAAGACGGAAAGACCCCGUGAACCUUUACUAUAGCUUGACACUGAACAUUGAGCCUUGAUGUGUAGGAUAGGUGGGAGGCUUUGAAGUGUGGACGCCAGUCUGCAUGGAGCCGACCUUGAAAUACCACCCUUUAAUGUUUGAUGUUCUAACGUUGACCCGUAAUCCGGGUUGCGGACAGUGUCUGGUGGGUAGUUUGACUGGGGCGGUCUCCUCCUAAAGAGUAACGGAGGAGCACGAAGGUUGGCUAAUCCUGGUCGGACAUCAGGAGGUUAGUGCAAUGGCAUAAGCCAGCUUGACUGCGAGCGUGACGGCGCGAGCAGGUGCGAAAGCAGGUCAUAGUGAUCCGGUGGUUCUGAAUGGAAGGGCCAUCGCUCAACGGAUAAAAGGUACUCCGGGGAUAACAGGCUGAUACCGCCCAAGAGUUCAUAUCGACGGCGGUGUUUGGCACCUCGAUGUCGGCUCAUCACAUCCUGGGGCUGAAGUAGGUCCCAAGGGUAUGGCUGUUCGCCAUUUAAAGUGGUACGCGAGCUGGGUUUAGAACGUCGUGAGACAGUUCGGUCCCUAUCUGCCGUGGGCGCUGGAGAACUGAGGGGGGCUGCUCCUAGUACGAGAGGACCGGAGUGGACGCAUCACUGGUGUUCGGGUUGUCAUGCCAAUGGCACUGCCCGGUAGCUAAAUGCGGAAGAGAUAAGUGCUGAAAGCAUCUAAGCACGAAACUUGCCCCGAGAUGAGUUCUCCCUGACUCCUUGA